rnacentral:ncRNA from 1 species
GAUGAACCCUAAAAAGUUCUGAGAGCAUAAAGGCUUGGUCCUAGUCUUACUAUCAACUAUCUCUUAGCUUACACAUGCAAGUCUCAGCACCCCCGUGAGGAAGCCCUUAAACCCUUAGCCAGGACAAGGAGCUGGUAUCAGGCUCAAACUUUUUGCCCAUAACACCUAGUCUCACCACACCCCCAAGGGUACACAGCAGUGAUAAACAUUAUUUAUAAGCGACAGCUUGACUCAGUUAAAGAGAAGAAGGUCGGCCAACUCGGUGCCAGCCGCCGCGGCUAAACCCCCAUGGACUUAAGUUGAUACUCGUCGGCGUUAAGCGUGAUUAAAGUUAUACCAAAGUUUAGAGUAAAACCCCUUGCCCAGCUGUGAAAAGCAUGCACUGUUGAAUCCCACGAACGAAAGUCACUCUAACCCCGUCACUUGAACACACUAUAGCUAGGAGCACAAACUGGGAUUAGUUACCCCACUAUGCCUAGCCAUAAAUCCAUUUACACUUUAAACGCCAGGGAACUACGGGCUAAGCCUGAAACCCAAAGGACUUGACGGUGUCCCACCCAACUAGAGGAGCCUGUUCUACAAUCGAUGACCCCCGUUAAACCCAACCUUUUUUCGCUCUUCAGCCUGUAUACCUCCGUCGCAAAUUCACCGUGUGAAUGACAAACAGUGCAAUUUAAUGUUUACCUCAUCAGAACGUCAGGUCAAGGUGCAGCCUAUAAAAAGGAAAGUAAUGGGCUACAAUUUCUAAUAUAGAACAAACGGAAUACUUUGUGAAACCCAUCUAUGAAGGAGGAUUUAGCAGUAAAGAGAAACUAGCGUGUUCUCUUAAACACGGCCCUGGGACGCGUACACACCGCCCGUCGCCCUCCUCAAGACCUAAGACUAGUUUAUUAACCCCCUGAUAGGACAAUAGAGGAGGUAAGUCGUAACAUGGUAAGUGU